CCGAGAAUAUUCGACAAUGGACGAAAGUCUGAUCGAGCGACACCGCGUGAUGGAUGAAGACCCUCUGGGUCGUAAACAUCUUUUUAUGAGGGAGAAAGUUUAUUGAUAGUACCUCACGAAUAAGGGGUUGCUAAACUCGUGCCAGCAGCAGCGGUAAUACGAGUGCCCCAAGCGUUAUCCGGAAUCAUUGGGCGUAAAGGGUGUGUAGGUGGUAAUGUUAGUCAGCUGUUAAACCCUGGGGCUCAACCCCAGAUCUGUGGCUGAAACGGCAUAACUAGAGGAUGGCAGGGAUGUAUGGAACUCAUGGAGUAGGGGGUGAAAUCCGUUGAUAUCAUGGGGAACACCAAAAGCGAAGGCAGUACAUUGGGCCACUCCUGACACUGAAACACGAAAGCGUAGGUAGCGAAUGGGAUUAGAUACCCACGUAGUCCCUGAGCGGGCUGGCAAGGCGCAU
rnacentral:rRNA from 1 species